UGGAAGGUAAAAGUCGUAACAAGGUCUCCGUUGGUGAACCAGCGGAGGGAUCAUUACCGAGUUUACAACUCCCAAACCCAAUGUGAACGUUACCAAACUGUUGCCUCGGCGGGAUCUCUGCCCCGGGUGCGUCGCAGCCCCGGACCAAGGCGCCCGCCGGAGGACCAACCUAAAACUCUUAUUGUAUACCCCCUCGCGGGUUUUUUUUAUAAUCUGAGCCUUCUCGGCGCCUCUCGUAGGCGUUUCGAAAAUGAAUCAAAACUUUCAACAACGGAUCUCUUGGUUCUGGCAUCGAUGAAAACGCAGCGAAAUGCGAUAAGUAAUGUGAAUUGCAGAAUUCAGUGAAUCAUCGAAUCUUUGAACGCACAUUGCGCCCGCCAGUAUUCUGGCGGGCAUGCCUGUCCGAGCGUCAUUUCAACCCUCGAACCCCUCCGGGGGGUCGGCGUUGGGGAUCGGCCCUCCCUUAGCGGGUGGCCGUCUCCGAAAUACAGUGGCGGUCUCGCCGCAGCCUCUCCUGCGCAGUAGUUUGCACACUCGCAUCGGGAGCGCGGCGCGUCCACAGCCGUUAAACACCCAACUUCUGAAAUGUUGACCUCGGAUCAGGUAGGAAUACCCGCUGAACUUAAGCAUAUCAAUAAGCGGGAGGA
rnacentral:rRNA from 1 species